rnacentral:rRNA from 1 species
AGGGAAUAUUGGUAAUGUGCGAAAGCGCGAACCAGCAACGCCGCGUGCACGAUGAAGGCCUUCGGGUCGUAAAGUGCUUUUAGAGAGGAUGAGGAAAGACAGUACUUUCUGAAUAAGCCUCGGCUAACUACGUGCCAGCAGCCGCGGUAAAACGUAGGAGGCUAGCGUUAUCCGGAUUUACUGGGCGUAAAGCGCAUGCAGGUGGUUUUGUAAGUUGGAUGUGAAAGCUCCUGGCUUAACUGGGAGAGGUCGUUCAAAACUACAAGACUUGAGAUUGGUAGAGGAAAAUGGAAUUCCGGGUGUAGUGGUGAAAUGCGUAGAUAUCCGGAGGAACACCAGUGGCGAAAGCGGUUUUCUGGACCAAUUCUGACACUCAGAUGCGAAAGCUAAGGUAGCAAACG